rnacentral:rRNA from 1 species
GAUUGAACGCUGGCGGCAGGCCUAACACAUGCAAGUCGAACGGCAGCACAGAAGAGCUUGCUCUUUGGGUGGCGAGUGGCGGACGGGUGAGUAAUGUCUGGGAAACUGCCCGAUGGAGGGGGAUAACUACUGGAAACGGUAGCUAAUACCGCAUAACGUCGCAAGACCAAAGUGGGGGACCUUCGGGCCUCACACCAUCGGAUGUGCCCAGAUGGGAUUAGCUAGUAGGUGGGGUAAUGGCUCACCUAGGCGACGAUCCCUAGCUGGUCUGAGAGGAUGACCAGCCACACUGGAACUGAGACACGGUCCAGACUCCUACGGGAGGCAGCAGUGGGGAAUAUUGCACAAUGGGCGCAAGCCUGAUGCAGCCAUGCCGCGUGUAUGAAGAAGGCCUUCGGGUUGUAAAGUACUUUCAGCGGGGAGGAAGGCGGUGAGGUUAAUAACCUCGCCGAUUGACGUUACCCGCAGAAGAAGCACCGGCUAACUCCGUGCCAGCAGCCGCGGUAAUACGGAGGGUGCAAGCGUUAAUCGGAAUUACUGGGCGUAAAGCGCACGCAGGCGGUCUGUUAAGUCAGAUGUGAAAUCCCCGGGCUUAACCUGGGAACUGCAUUUGAAACUGGCAGGCUUGAGUCUCGUAGAGGGGGGGUAGAAUUCCAGGUGUAGCGGUGAAAUGCGUAGAGAUCUGGAGGAAUACCCGGUGGGCGAAGGGCGGCCCCUGGACGAAGACUGACGCUCAGGUGCGAAAGCGUGGGGAGCAAACAGGAUUAGAUACCUGGUAGUCCACGCCGUAAACGAUGUCGACUUGGAGGUUGUGCCCCUGAGGCGUGGCUUCCGGAGCUAACGCGUUAAGUCGACCGCCUGGGGAGUACGGCCGCAAGGUUAAAACUCAAAUGAAUUGACGGGGGCCCGCACAAGCGGUGGAGCAUGUGGUUUAAUUCGAUGCAACGCGAAGAACCUUACCUGGCCUUGACAUCCAGAGAACUUAGCAGAGAUGCUUUGGUGCCUUCGGGAACUCUGAGACAGGUGCUGCAUGGCUGUCGUCAGCUCGUGUUGUGAAAUGUUGGGUUAAGUCCCGCAACGAGCGCAACCCUUAUCCUUUGUUGCCAGCGGCUCGGCCGGGAACUCAAAGGAGACUGCCGGUGAUAAACCGGAGGAAGGUGGGGAUGACGUCAAGUCAUCAUGGCCCUUACGGCCAGGGCUACACACGUGCUACAAUGGCGCAUACAAAGAGAAGCGACCUCGCGAGAGCAAGCGGACCUCACAAAGUGCGUCGUAGUCCGGAUUGGAGUCUGCAACUCGACUCCAUGAAGUCGGAAUCGCUAGUAAUCGUAGAUCAGAAUGCUACGGUGAAUACGUUCCCGGGCCUUGUACACACC